rnacentral:rRNA from 1 species
UACGUAGGGGCCUAGCGUUGUCCGGAAUUAUUGGGCGUAAAGAGCUCGUAGGCGGUUUGUCGCGUCUGCUGUGAAAACGCGAGGCUCAACCUCGCGCCUGCAGUGGGUACGGGCAGACUAGAGUGCGGUAGGGGAGAUUGGAAUUCCUGGUGUAGCGGUGGAAUGCGCAGAUAUCAGGAGGAACACCGAUGGCGAAGGCAGAUCUCUGGGCCGUAACUGACGCUGAGGAGCGAAAGCGUGGGGAGCGAACAGG